rnacentral:rRNA from 1 species
UAGCUAGUUGGUGAGGUAAAGGCUUACCAAGGCGACGAUCUGUAGCGGGUCUGAGAGGAUGAUCCGCCACACUGGAACUGAGACACGGUCCAGACUCCUACGGGAGGCAGCAGUGGGGAAUUUUGGACAAUGGGGGCAACCCUGAUCCAGCCAUGCCGCGUGAGUGAAGAAGGCCUUCGGGUUGUAAAGCUCUUUCGGCCGGGAAGAAAUCGCAUGGGCCAAUACCCUGUGUGGAUGACGGUACCGGAAUAAGAAGCACCGGCUAACUACGUGCCAGCAGCCGCGGUAAUACGUAGGGUGCGAGCGUUAAUCGGAAUUACUGGGCGUAAAGCGUGCGCAGGCGGUUUUGUAAGACAGGCGUGAAAUCCCCGGGCUUAACCUGGGAACUGCGUUUGUGACUGCAAGGCUAGAGUACGGCAGAGGGGGGUGGAAUUCCACGUGUAGCAGUGAAAUGCGUAGAGAUGUGGAGGAACACCAAUGGCGAAGGCAGCCCCCUGGGUCGAUACUGACGCUCAUGCACGAAAGCGUGGGUAGCAAACAGGAUUAGAUACCCUGGUAGUCCACGCCCUAAACUAUGUCAACUAGGUGUUGGGUGGGUAAAACCAUUUAGUACCGUAGCUAACGCGUGAAGUUGACCGCCCGGGGAGUACGGCCGCAAGGUUAAAACUCAAAGGAAUUGACGGGGACCCGCACAAGCGGUGGAUGAUGUGGAUUAAUUCGAUGCAACGCGAAAAACCUUACCUACCCUUGACAUGCCAGGAACUUGCCAGAGAUGGCUUGGUGCCCGAAAGGGAGCCUGUACACAGGUGCUGCAUGGCUGUCGUCAGCUCGUGUCGUGAGAUGUUGGGUUAAGUCCCGCAACGAGCGCAACCCUUGUCGUUAAUUGCCAUCAUUUAGUUGGGCACUUUAACGAGACUGCCGGUGACAAACCGGAGGAAGGUGGGGAUGACGUCAAGUCCUCAUGGCCCUUAUGGGUAGGGCUUCACACGUCAUACAAUGGUCGGUACAAAGGGUUGCCAAGCCGCGAGGCGGAGCCAAUCCCAGAAAGCCGAUCGUAGUCCGGAUUGCAGGCUGCAACUCGCCUGCAUGAAGUCGGAAUCGCUAGUAAUCGUGGAUCAGCAUGUCACGGUGAAUACGUUCCCGGGUCUUGUACACACCGCCCGUCACACCAUGGGAGCGGGUUCCGCCAGAAGUAGGUAGCCUAACCGCAAGGGGGGCGCUUACCACGGCGGGGUUCGUGACUGGGGUGAAGUCGUAACAAGGUAGCCGUAGGGGAACCUGCGGCUG